rnacentral:lncRNA from 1 species
UGAGAACGUCUUCAAAACCUGACAAGAGUGAGUGGGAUCCUGCCUGGCUCAUGGGCAGUAAGCAAGCUUCAGCACAGGUGGUUGUAGAGAAAUUACACAAACACAGAAUCAAGCAGGGCCUCCAGCAACAAGCUAUUACUACCAGCCAGGAAAACCCUCUACCUUCAGUUCAGCCUGUGGACUUUGUGCAAUGCGAGGAGACAGCUUCCCCUCAGAGCUCUGUCAUGGAAAUGGACAGCUGCCGUGCUGAUCCUCCGUGUGCUGCC